AGUGAACGCUGGCGGUAGGCCUAACACAUGCAAGUCGAACGGCAGCACAGUAAUAGCUUGCUCUUACGGGUUGCGAGUGGCGUACGUGUGAGGUAUGCAUCGGAAUCUACCUUUUCGUGUGGGAUAACGUAGGGAAACUUACUCUCAUACCGCAUACGCCCUACGGGUGUAAGCAUUGGAUCUUCGGACCUUGCGCGAUUGAAUGCGCCGAUGUCGGAUUAGCUAGUUGGCGGGGUAAAGGCCCACAAAGGCGACGAUCCGUAGCUGGGCUGAGAGGAUGGUCGGCGACACGAGAAGUGGAACACGGACCAGACUACUAAGGGAGGGAGCAGUGGGGAAUAUGGGACAAUGGGCGCAAGCCUGACCCAGCCAUAGCGAGUGGGUGGAGAAGGCGUUCGGGGUGGAAAGACGGUUUGUUGGGAAAGAAAAGCAGCAGGUUAAGACCAAGCGGUUCUGACGGUACCCAAAGAAUAAGCACCGGCUAACUUCGUG
rnacentral:rRNA from 1 species